rnacentral:lncRNA from 1 species
AAAUUACCAUUUUGCCGUCGUCAACGAGGACAGGGUUUUCGCAGAGAGUGAGGUAAAGCUUCUUCUUGGAGGAGGAGAAGGUGGAGGAGGAGGAGGAGUGAGAUAGGAUCAGUGGCGGAUCUACAGAGGGACCUGGGAGGUCCCAGAACCCUUCGGCGACCCUAAAUCGCUGCUAGAAAAUUUUCGGGGACCCCUCGUACUCGAACACAAGGUCUGUGCAAUGUGUUUUGUAAUUUCUGGGUUGGUAGGUUCUGUUCUUGCGAGAGGAAGAAGAUGAUUAAAUGAGUUUCUCUCUCAUCCUUUCAUUCCCACGUGACCACCCUCAAACUUUCCCAUUUUAUUGAUUUUUUAAUUGGUCCAAUCACAUUCCGAUAGCUAGCAUCAACUUGAUCUUUCCAAAAUAUGAAAAUGGGUUGUCGGUCCCUAGGUGUAUAUUUUUGUUAAUUGGUGUGGCUCCCCUCCUUACGCGUCUAGUGCUUCAUUUUGCUUUCUACACCCACAUAUUUAACACACUUAUAUUUAUCUUAAAAUUCAAUAUAAAUCAAUAUGAUCUUUAAAAAUAUUAUGUAAAUUACUAUGAACUUGUAAUUAUUUGAACUUUUAUCUUAUACCUUAAAUUCACCAAAAUACUAGGUAUAUAAUAAAUUUAUUUAAAUUCACUUAGACCGCGCACGGAGAAGAAAGAAAAUAGGACCCUUUUUAACAAUUGGUAUAUUUUUUCUAUUUUUUUUUUGUUAAAUGUGUAGUUUAGAAAUAAAAAAAUGUGGAGAGAUUUUUCAAGUCAAAGCUGAUAGCACCAUCUAUUUGGUCAUUGAGAAAGAUGGUUGAGUGAUGUUUUUUCAUGUAUUGGUAAUGAAGCUAUCAUAGAAUAUUUUCAGACUAUGAAACCCCGUCGUGGACGCUCAAAUUAGGAUUUUAUAGCUUGUAAUGUUGUUUUGCGUAUGAUUUUUGAAUGAAAUGUAUUAUAUUUAACUUUUCAAUGUUAAUUUUGUCUAUAAAUGUUUUUACCUUUAUUAAUGGGACCCCCCAAACUUAAAAUCCUGGAUCCGCCACUGCCCGUGGGUAUCCCUCUUCAUGGCCCUUCCUUGCUUUGUUCAGCCAUGGUUUCUGUUGAGUUCGUGUGUAGAGUUCUGGUGUUAUAUCUGGCUCAGGUGUCUCCCACACCACCACGAUCUCCUUGUUGUCUGCCGUUCUCGGCGGUGUUGUUCGGGAUUUUCCCGGAGCUUCUUUCUGAUGGUUGGCUUCUCUCUCGCCGACUAUCUCUUGUUAAUGGUUAUGUGCAGGUGGCGCCUGUGGAGGUGAUGAUCAGCGGUGGAUGGAGGAUUGGAUGGCUGGCUGAUUCUCGGGUCGAUGGUGGAGAGCACAGUGGAUGGUUCUCGGUUGUUUGUUUGGGCUUCACUGUUGUUGGGCUCAUUUUCUUUGUUUUCUUUGUUUUUAGGCCCGUUCUUUAUUUGUUUGUAGGAAUAAUUGGACCUUUGUGUGGUUUGUAAGUGUGUGUUUGUUUUAAUAAAAGUUCCUCGCAACUUAAAAAAAAAAAAAAAAAACAGAAUCUUAAUUAGAAUAUGGAUGAAAAUUAUUAACAGACCUGGAUUCAGGCAGACGAAUCCAUUCCCAAUAUUGAGGAGUAUCGCCCCAAGUAAUCUUAAGCUUCCUUGCAGAUAUCAUAUAGCCCUUUUUCCCACUCCAUUUGUCCACUGAAAAGCUCUGCAAUUAAUAUUGAAUAUGCAUGACAUCAAUUAUAAUUAAAUACAUGAAUAAAAAUUAAUCACAAUAAGUUAAUAACAAAAACGAAGGCAUAUAGUUAAUAUGACGUUACCAUCUUCCCCUAAUCGAUGAGGACCGGGUUGUCACAUAGAGAGAGAGAGAAAAAGCUCCUUCUUGGAUUUCCAACUGGAAGAAGAAGAAGAGCAAGUCGGGACUGGGAGGGAGGAGGGAGACUGAGGUUGUACGGAGCACUUGCCGAGGAUCGUGUAGACAUCAGGCGGAAGGAACCUGUCCCAAACGGCGUCCAAAUCAGCGGCCGACCGGAAACCCCUAGACACCGCUGAAAGCCUGCACGCGUCAGGAGGCGUCGUUAAGGAGGCCACGGUGGCUUUGCAUCCUUCUGGCAACGCCACCAGAUCCAUCGCCGGCGUUCCUGUAGUUUGUCUUUGUAUAUUGUAUUGCGUUUUGGUGUUUGUAAACUUGUGUAAUAUUGUUUGGGCACAAAUUUACACCAUCAAAGUGAGCAUAACUUUCAACUGUUGGAUAGAAAAGUAAAGAUAGUUUUGUUGUUGUUAAAAGAUAAUAUUAUGGUUUUUAUCAUAAUAAUUAUCUUUUAACUAUCUUGACAAAUGCGAAUUAUAUCUCUAAGCAAGGGGUACAGUUCAAAUUAAGUUGGGAUGUGUGUGGACGUGUGGAGUAGUCAAAGUAAAGUGAUGUGAUGGGAUCAAGGUGCCAGCCAUGAUUUUUUAUGCAUGCAUGUGAUGAUUUCAUUAAAUGCCGUGCAAAAGUUGGAAAUGGUUUGGAUGGAUAAAGAUGGCAUGAAAAAGGGUUUAUUUUGAUGGUCUCGACGUGGAAAGCAAAUGACCACCAAAUGGCAUGUAUCCUUGGAUUUUGGCAGGUUUUUUACCGAGUCUUGUGGAAGUGAAUGGCUAGGCUUGCAUGUUAAUUAUCAGCAUGCUUUGGUUCCAGAGCCGUGGAGGUCAUUAUGCAUGUUAAUUAUUUGCAUAAAAUAAGGAGAUAAUGAUAACAUCUAAAAGAAAGGCUGUUGCUUACCUUGAGAAGUGUUUGACUGGGACUCUGGUUGAUGAGUGUGAAUUGAAAUCAAAUCCUACACUAGUGUGAAGCCGCACCACACAUUUGCGUCUAUAAAUACAAGGUUGCGAACACCAUUGAAGCCCCUCUAAUUCAACACACAAUUGCCCUGUGCAAACUUUCUCAACAACCUUGAGAUUUUUACUUUUUCCUUUUCGCCGACACAUCUUUCGUUGGUAUCAAUAGCACUGUGAAGGCAACCAGUGAUAUCCUCAGUCGACAUAAGAUAGCUCUGUCACCGUAGAAUCAGCUAAUCUCGCAGCAUCUUCCGUUGGUAUCAACAGCACUGCGGCGAGGACAGUUGGUUACCUAUCCAAGUCUCGGUCGAGAAGGAUUUCCGAAUCCUUGUUGGUCGAGGUCAUCUCAUUAGCCUUCUCAGCGAAGUGAGGUGUUACAGUUUACCGAGCUCGGCGCAUUGCACGCCGAGUUAUUUUAUGAUUGGAUACUCUCAAGUGGGAUUUAGAGUUCGGCAUUCUGACAGUCGAACCACGUUCACCAUUAAGACUUAUAUCCACUUUGAGUAUUUGUGCCCUUACACUUUGGUGUCGAUUCGGCGUGGGUUUACUCUGACAAAUACCAUCACUGUGACCGAGUUCGACGACGACGAUUCGUGAACUUCAUGAGAAUAGCAACCUUGUCUUCAGGCUGCAUAAGUCAGUAGCGCGACCCAAUGCAACAUUAGCAAAUUUUACUUCUCGGCCGAGCUCGGCCGACGAGUUGGCACGCCCCGCACACAACCGAAUGACGUAGUUAGCUCAUAGAUUACUCGGCCUGCGCGCCACGUACGUAGGCUUGGUAGUUUUUAGGGUCAACAAAUAUAUGCAUGGAUUUCCUAGAUGAAGUCUUAGGGGUUAAGUUUAGGGUUGUUUUAUAACGCAUCAAGGUAUAUGGUAUGCACCAGGUUUAUAGAAACGUUAAAUUCGUUGGGUUCUUGGACCAAAUACAAAAAGAAAAGAUCUUGACCUAUUCUCUGGGGAUGCAUAAAAAUAUAGAAUGGUUUUAAAUUUUGAGUAUCAGCCUAAUUAUUUCUCUUAGAUUAGUAAUACAUUAUUCAGCCUAUAUUCAAUGCACAUAUAAAAGGUUAUUUUUUCGAAAGACCUAUUUGUCGAUUUAUCCUCCGAACUUGUAUACACCUACCAAUUUCCCUUAUGAAUUUUAAUUUAGCUGAUUAUACCUGAACUUUUAUAAAUAGAUUUUGAAAAUUUUCAACUAAUCUUCCAUUCAUCUUGAUCACGCGAACAUCACAUGGCAAAUAUAUGAUGGGGAAAGGAUAAUUUUGUUUUGGUAAAUUGGGCACAAAGUUAGUACUUUGCCGUUGCAAAUUAGAUUCCUAUGGCUAAUUCAAACAUAAAGUAUACGGAGUCAACUAGCAAAAGAGAACAUUAGGGUAAUAUUACUUGAUUACCCUUAAACAUUUUUCAUCAGACUAAAAUGGGUAGGAAAUUGAAUGAAUUUUUUAAAAUCUAAUGUCAGAAAGGAAAUUGACUAAUUAUAAAAGUUUAGAAGGGUAAUCAACUAAAAUUAAAAUUUAGAGAGAAAAUUAGCAACUGCUUAAAGUUCUAGGAGAAAAUCGACAGAUAACUCUUUUCAAAAAAAGAGAAAAGGUUAUUGGGUUUCCUUUUUCCUUUUCAUUUCAAAUUUUUUACUUUAAUAAAUCAUCAGUACUAUCUAGUAUCUAGUAUAUAUUCUUUUAAGUUAGAAAUCUCAAAUUCAACUUAUCUUGUUAACAAAUUUAAUGUAAUAACACCGACGGUGAUAGACCCACGUUAGGAUAAAAAGUGGCCAUUCCCUCCCCUCCAAGGGCCCAUGCAAUAUUUCUAGCCAAAUACCUCCAUUACCCACCACCCCCCACAAAAAAGGGAAAGAAAAAAGAAGAAAAGAAAUCAGUCUAAUUGGUUCCAAAUCGAGCACUUAAACUCGGUUUGAUUUGCGACGCCACGCCAGAUGACCUUGUGCACCAUGAACUUGGCCUAGAAGAGAAUGCACGUAUUCUUAGGUGAAAAAACUAUACGUGUGAUAACACAUCUCCCAAUCUCUCCAUUCAUCAAAUAAGUUUAUAACGUUUUACAACAAGUAUUCAAAGGUGAAGGGAAUCAUUAAAUAAUUAUUCAAGAGGACUGUAAUCACCGUUGAUGAUCAGGGUUCAACCCAUGUCAAAGUUAAAGAAUCAAAAGGGUGCGGUUGUCGCGGUGUGACCAGAGAAAUUGGUGUCCGGUAAGAGACAGAGAAGCAAGACUACACUUUGGCAAUCAAGUACAAGAGCUCCGAGGAAGAAGCCAUCUCAUUUGGUGCAAUUGUUUGGGAAGAAGAGAGUGAAAAUUUUACUAUGAGGAGCCCUAUUGUGAUCUCGGGUAGCCCUAUUGUGAUCGUUGUGUAAGAACACGUUAGCUGGCAUUUCGGGAAGUUUGGUACGACUUCAAUUCAAUCCAUGUAGUUCAAAGAUGAGCAAUUGCAACCAUUUUAUCAACAAAAUUAUAAUACAAUGAGCCUUUUUGUUUCUCUUACUAGUAAUUUUCCUAAUAUGUAACAUCGACAAUGCACCUAUUACAUGUAAGUCCUUAGAAAAAGUUCAACUUUCUACACUCUUUUGGGCCUGACUUCAAUCCCUUGAACAAUAAGGCCUCUCUUCAUUCUAUGAAUGUCAAAAUCCCUACAUGUCAUCUCCAUUAACCCCCCAUUUUCUUCUCCUGGACAGAAGAACUCUCCAAUCUCCACCUCCAGCCAGCCGUCAGGCCUUUUCUUUCGGCUCCUUUCUUGGCCCAGAAACACAGUGCGCUUACUACUAGUCUCUUCUUUCCCAAAAAGUCCUAUCUUGACCUCCGAGGGAUCGUCACGAUCAAAUCCUCUAGCCCUUUCACUUAACAUGAACACAAGAUAAGCUUUGUAGACAGUGGAGGGGGAAAGAAUCCGUGUAUCAAUUUUGCCACGGAUGUCAAGCCACCAAACAACUACAAGCGCAGCCACCUCCUCAAACCUGUUUCAUUUAACAUGACACAUACUAAUUAAUUGCCUAAUUACACACAUACACACAUAUUUCAAUCUAUAUAUAUACAUCGCUAAAACAAAUCCAACCGCAGAAUAAGCACGAUAUGGAAAUGCAUUCUCAACAUCUUAAAAGCGUAGCUGUUAGCUUAAUCAAACCAACAAAACGUAAGAUGAAUGAAGAAGUUUACAGACCUGGAGUUGGCAAGAGAAAUCCAUUUCCAGUACUCAGGAUUAUCACCCCAAAUAAUAAUAAGGUCCUUCGGCGAUAUCAUGUAACAUUUUUUCCCACUCCAUUUGUCCAGAGUAAAACUCUGCAUAUAUAGAACAUGGAAACUGAUUGAGAAAGGUUACAAAAACUUAUUCUGGCUAGUUUUUCAUGCAUUAGUUCCAGCAGGCACCAUCUCAAAGUCGAAAGUCAUAUUUUCAUAUUAAUAUAUGAUGCUGUAUUCAAUUGAGAAUUUGAGAGACUUUAAAUUGAUUUUUAUAGAGUUUAAUUGAUUUAUAGAGAUUUCAUAGAAAAUUUUGAUUCAAUUUCCUCGAAAUCUCAUGGAGAGAGAUUAGAUUUGUGGAUGCUUAUAAUAUACUACAAAAUCUCUCCAAUUCCCUUUAAUUCCUCAAAUUUCUCAAAUUAUUUAAUAUCAAUUUCUAAUUGAAUACAAUGUUAUAAACUUUUUUAAAAUCAUAAUUGAAUACACUCAGAUUUAUAAAGAUUUUAAUAAAUUAUCUUAAAAUUCUAAUUGAAUACCCUUGAAUUAAAAUACUGAUUGAUUACCUAGAUUCAUUAAAAGAAUUAAAAUCCCUCAAACUCUGAAUUGAAUACACGCCCCAAAACUUUAUCAGAAAGUAGAGAGAAACAAAUAAAAUCUUCAAAUAUAUUCAUGUUUCAAAUUUUGGGAGCUAUCCCUAAUCCCACCACAAAAGCGAAAAAGAAUGUAUAAAAUUACCAUUUUUCCGUCGUCAACGAGGACAGGGUUUUCGCAGAGAGUGAGGUAAAGCUUCUUCUUGGAGGAGGAGAAGGUGGAGGAGGAGGAGGAGGAGUGAGAUAGGAUGGAGGGGAUAUCAGGGGGAAGGAACUUGUCCCAAACAGCGUCGGAAUCAGCAGCCGACAUGAAACUCUUAGACACCGCCGAAAACCUGCACGCGUCUCGAGGCGUCGUUAAGGAGACGACGUUAGCUAUGCAUCCUUCGGGCAACUCUUGCAGAUCCAUGUGAACGUGAUGGUGAUCGUCAUCGAGUACCAUCGACACCGGCGUCCCGCAGCCCCCGCUG